GCGGAUGUAGUUCAAUGGUAGAACUUCAGCUUCCCAAGCUGACGGCAGGGGUUCGAUUCCCUUCAUCCGCU
rnacentral:tRNA from 1 species